rnacentral:rRNA from 1 species
UACAGAGGGGGCAAGCGGUGUUCGGAAUUACUGGGAGUAAAGGGCGCGUAGGCGGCCUUCUAAGUCGAACGUGAAAUCCCCGGGCUCAACCCGGGAACUGCGUCCGAUACUGGAAGGCUUGAAUCCGGGAGAGGGAUGCGGAAUUCCAGGUGUAGCGGUGAAAUGCGUAGAUAUCUGGAGGAACACCGGUGGCGAAGGCGGCAUCCUGGACCGGUAUUGACGCUGAGGCGCGAAAGCCAGGGGAGCAAACGGG